UCUAAAGUUGAAAUCUGGCAAUUUCCGCUACAGAUUCUAGUUUCUGUGAACCGUCGACUAUUCAAGUCAAACGUCAUUUUGAAAUGUUAGUGGACUCAGUCUAAGUACAAUAGAAUCUAAGUAGAGAUUCUAGAUCUAUCUCGUCUUGAUUGCUUUUGCCCAGGUUACAAAUAUGGCAAGUCUUGCUAAGUGCUUAGCUAGAACAAUUGUUGUUUCCAAGAAUAACUGGAUCUUAAAAAGCUGCAAGAAAUCAAUCACGACUUCUGGAAAAAUGCAUUCCCAGCACUGGCAACAAGAGGGAAUACCUGGAGCGAACAUGCCAAUUGGAAUUAAAAGUAAACCACUUCUUACUCUUGGAUUUUUAUUUUUUUUAUUUACUGGCCUUCAGUCACCAUUUUCGAUAGUGCUUUGGAAUAUCUACUUACAAAAUCGUCCAGCGCCAGCACCAGUUGUUGAAUCUGCUACUGCUUUACCUCUUGAGGAAAAAACUGAUUAUUGUGGCAACUAAAUUUAGACAUAGCUAAUUGCAACAGCUGCCUACAGGUUUAUUCAGAAGUCAACUUUCAAUAUUCUAUUACCAUUUUUGUUUAAAUAUUUGAAUUUGAAUUAAAUGUUUGCACAA